GUGUUCUGUCCUGUGUCAUAUCCUCCGUUAGAUCCAAGUACUCUAAGUCUUUUCUUAGGGUCUCUUCCAAAGUUUUCCUAGGUCUUCCUCUGCUCCUUCGGCCCUGAACCUCUGUCCCAUAGUCGCAUCUUCUAAUCGGAGCGUCAGUAGGUCUUCUUUGCACAUGUCCAAACCACCGUAACCGAUUUUCUCUCAUCUUUCCUUCAAUUUCGGCUACUCCUACUUUACCCCGGAUAUCCUCAUUCCUAAUCUUAUCCUUUCUCGUGUGCCCACACAUCCAACGAAGCAUCCUCAUCUCCGCUACACCCAUUUUGUGUACGUGUUGAUGCUUCACCGCCCAACAUUCUGUGCCAUACAGCAUCGCCGGCCUUAUUGCCGUCCUAUAAAAUUUUCCCUUGAGCUUCAGUGGCAUACGGCGGUCACACAACACGCCGGAUGCACUCUUCCACUUCAUCCAUCCAGCUUGUAUUCUAUGGUUGAGAUCUCCAUCUAAUUCUCCGUUCUUUUGCAAGAUAGAUCCUAGGUAACGAAAACGGUCGCUCUUUGGUAUUUCUUGAUCUUCGAUCCUCACCCCUAACUCGUUUUGGCCUCCAUUUGCACUGAACUUGCACUCCAUAUAUUCUGUCUUUGAUCGGCUUAGGCGAAGACCUUUAGAUUUCAGCACUUCUCUCCAAAGGUUAAGCUUUGCAUUUACCCCUUCCUGAGUUUCAUCUAUCAACACUAUAUCGACUGCGAAAAGCAUACACCAAGGAAUAUCACCUUGAAUAUGUCCUGUUAACUCAUCCAUUACCAACGCAAAAAGGUAAGGACUUAAGGAUGAGCCUUGAUGUAAUCCUACAGUUAUGGGAAAGCUUUCGGUUUGUCCUUCAUGAGUUCUUACGGCAGUCUUUGCUCCUUCAUACAUAUCCUGUAUAGCUUGGAUAUAUGCUACUCGUACUCCUUUCUUCUCUAAAAUCCUCCAAAGAAUGUCUCUUGGGACCCUAUCAUACGUUUUUUUCCAAAUCUAUAAAGACCAUGUGUAAAUCCUUUUUCCCAUCUCUAUAUCUUUCCAUCAAUCUUCGUAAGAGAUAGAUUGCCUCCAUGGUUGAGCGCCCUGGCAUGAACCCGAAUUGGUUGUCUGAAACCCGUGUCUCUUGCCUCAAUCUAUGCUCAAUGACUCUCUCCCAGAGCUUCAUUGUAUGACUCAUUAGCUUAAUACCCCUAUAGUUCAUGCAAUUUUGUACAUCGCCCUUAUUCUUGUAGAUAGGCACCAAAGUGCUCAUUCGCCACUCAUUCGGCAUCUUCUUCGUUUUCAAAAUCCUAUUGAAAAGGUUAGUGAGCCAUGUUAUACCUGUCUCUCCCAAAACUUUCCACACUUCGAUUGGUAUAUCGUAUGGGCCUACUGUUUUUCUAUGCUUCAUCUUCUUCAAAGCUACACCCACUUCUUCCUUCCGGAUUCUACGAUAAAAAGAGUAGUUUCUACACUCUUCUGAGUUACUCAACUCCCCUAAAGAAGCACUCAUUUCAUGUCCUUCAUUGAAAAGAUUAUGAAAAUAACCUUUCCAUCUGUCUUUAACCGCGUUCUCUGUAGCAAGAACCUUUCCAUCCUCAUCCUUGAUGCACCUCACUUGGUUUAGGUCCCUUGUCUUCUUGUCCCUUGCUCUAGCUAGUUUAUAGAUAUCAAACUCUCCUUCUUUGGUAUCUAGUCGCUUAUACAUAUCGUCAUAAGCCGCUAACUUAGCUUCUCUCACAGCUUUCUUCGCCUCUUGCUUCGCUUUUCUAUACCUUUCACCAUUUUCAUCGAUCAUAUCCUUGUAUAAGGCUUUACAACAUUCCUUCUUAGCCUUCACCUUUGCUUGUACCUCCUCAUUCCACCACCAAGAUUCCUUUUGGUGUGGGGCAAAGCCCUUGGACUCUCCUAAUACCUCUUUUGCUACUUUUCGGAUACAACUAGCCAUGGAAUCCCACAUUUGGUUAGCUUCCCCCUCUCUAUCCCACACACACUGGGUGAUUACUCUCUUUUUGAAAAUGGCUUGUUUUUCUUCUUUUAGAUUCCACCAUCUAGUCCUUGGGCACUUCCAAGUCUUGUUCUUUUUUCUCACUCUUUUGAUAUGUACAUCCAUCACCAACAAGCGAUGUUGAUUAGCCACGCUCUCUCCUGGUAUAACUUUGCAAUCCUUACAAGUUAUACGAUCCCCUUUCCUCAUUAGAAGAAAAUCUAUUUGUGUUUUUGACGACCCACUCUUGUAGGUGAUCACAUGUUCUUCUCUCUUCUUAAAGAAGGUGUUGGCUAAGAAGAGAUCAUAUGCCAUUGCAAAAUCCAAGAUAGCUUCCCCAUCCUCGUUUCUCUCCCCAAAACCAUGGCCACCAUGAAAACCUCCAUAGUUGCCUGUCUCCCUGCCCACGUGUCCAUUUAAAUCUCCUCCUAUAAAUAACUUCUCCGUCUGAGCAAUUCCUUGCACCAAGUCUCCAAGGUCUUCCCAAAAUUUCUCCUUCGAACUCGUAUCCAACCCUACUUGAGGUGCGUACACACUAAUCACAUUGAUAAGUUCUUGUCCUAUUACAAUCUUGAUUGCCAUGAUUCUAUCUCCUACCCUCUUGACAUCUACAACAUCUUGUGUCAAGGUCUUGUCCACGAUGAUGCCAACACCGUUUCUCGUUCUAUUUGUGCCCGAAUACCAUAGUUUAAACCCUGAGUUUUCUAGAUCCUUUGCCUUACUACCAACCCACUUAGUUUCUUGUAGGCACAUAAUAUUUAUCCUUCUCCUCACCAUAACUUCUACUACUUCCAUAGAUUUUCCCGUCAAGGUUUCUAUAUUCCACGUUCCUAAACGCAUUUUGCUCUCUUGAACUCUACCCUUCUGUCCUAGCUUCUUCACCCUUCCCCGUCUAAUAGGAUCAAAGUACUUCUUUUGUGUGUCCCGUGUAAAGUUGAUAGGAGCGUAUGCUCCCAAACAACUUUGAGUGGAGUCGUUCGAAAAGAAGUUUCUAUAUCCCCUUGCUCAUUUAACACUGCAUCCGGGUGCCGAUGGAGAUACAGCGACCCUUGCUCACUUAUCAUUGUGCUCAGGCCACACAGCGCGCCACUUACGGGUGACGCCCUAGCUUUAGCGCGAUUUCGUUCUGGAUUCAUUUUCAUAAGGAUUCGACGUGAUCAUGGAGUGCCGGCUGUCGACUACCUGACGCCCUCCCCCUCCUCCUUUAUCCGGGCUUGGGACCGGCAAUGUAAGAUAAACUUACACGGCGGAGUUAGGUCUAAAAUAUACAAAGUGAGUAAAACCACAGCUUGGUCGGUACUUUAGUCUUAUAUAACGCUAAACCAAGUGACUUGGUCACAUAAUUCAAUUAUAGCAUAUUAUCAAUAAUAAAUAUUUAACUGAUAAAAUAUGAAUGCAACUUAGCUUCAUUUUACCAAACCCAUUCAUGUAAUAAAACAAGCGGACUGGCAUGUCCUAUACCUGCAUUUUACCACUGCCCGUGGUUUAGUCAUCCCAAAUUCUCCUUUUGUUAGUGAUCUUGUUCUUCUCUUGUUCGCCAGAUUUCCCACUACUUCAUAUCAUUCUUAUAAUUUCACUUUUGUCACUCUGGCUGGUCCCUACAAGAGUCGAACUCAACCACAUAAACGAUAAUUUCAUUCUCAUAACCCAAUCUCGAAUUUACUAGUAUCCAUCCACUCCAAUAUGUAAUGAUAUAUGCAUAUAGAUAUAAUCGAUACUAUUAUGAUAUCCAUGAUAUCAAUAAUAACAUAUUAUAUUUUAAAAUAUGCUUUUAUAUUAAUUAUAGAGAUAUAUCAAGAAGAACAUAUGUUUAACAAAGCUUAAACAAGACAGCCCGUAAGGCUUGGUCUCUUUUGAGCCUUACAGCCCGUUGCUUCUUCAAUUGAACUUCAGUCUAGCAACGAAAUAAAAAGAAACUCUCCUCUUUUUAUUUGGGCCAGUAGCUCCAAUUUUUUUUUUUUUUUUUUUUUUUUGGGGACCUCCCACUCCAAAUCAGCCCUCUGUCUGUUCCUUUUUUUUUUCAUUAGGCCGCAACUCCCCUAGUCUCCUAGAUUACUCACAAAUGGGCCCUGAUGCCGCCCAACCUUUACUUUAAUUGCUCAAAUUAAUAUGCCUUUUUCAAUUCGAUUGUACAUGGUGCAUUUGGGAUUGCAGUGGAUCAACCUAAAGUUUGUACUAAAUUUCGAACCUACAGUUUUGAGACGUGUCAUAGAAAUUUGAAGUUUCUAUAAGGGAAAAGGAUCCUCGCUAGAUUCUUUUUCUAGAGAUCCCCGUGAUCUCAUCCGUUCAUCGUACACCGUGCGAUCAGAAAUCAUUUUAAAAUUUAAAAUUAAAUAUGAAUAGUAUCUAACGAAAACUGAUCGCAUGAUAUACGAUAAACGAUUGAAAUCACGGCAGAUGCUUUUCCUUCUGUAAGGACUUUUAAUCCGUUUAGCUCAUGCCUUGUUGGCCUAAUAUGUGUGUGUAAUAUUUAACUUGCCUCGACGCAUAAAUAUUUAACUUGUACUUUUACACUUGUCAUAUGUCACAUUUCACAUCUUCAACCAUUGUUUUGUCUUAAUACACAUAGUUAUCUGUACUAUUAUUAAGAAAACUCUUGUAUAUAUUAAUAACUAUUUAUAAAAAAUACUAAGCACUUCUUACCGCAACCAUAAAAUUUCUAACGGUUAUCGCAAGGAUGUCUAUGCACGACAUAGAGCAAGUUUGGCGAAGCCCUCUUCUUUCCUUUCAUUUUCGAAGUAAAACAGAGGCGUCGCAAUCCUACAAUACACAAAGCGGUACAUUAGCAUUCAUGAAAAUUCGUUCUGUCUCUAUUUUAUUUUCAGAUUCCGAAAAUGAACCGACCCAUCCUAACAUCAUUUAUGAGGACCACGAAACCUCCUCCUCAGGUUUCAAUUGUUAUUUUUGGAAAGAGGAAAGCUUUCUAUCAGUCAAAUGUAGAUAAGUAGAUACCGCCUCGGAAUGCUUUCUAUCAGUCAAAAGCGUAGAUAAGUCACCUCUCCGCUCCCCAAGGAAUAGAAAAGGAGGACCGGACAAUACAAAAUACAUUAAUUACAAAGAGAAAAACCAGGCUUGUAUACUUUCUUCCACGAAACAAUCGUGAAAAACAGCGAUGCUGCUAUUCGUGUCUCGACAAAAAACGAUUUUCUCGACGAUGAGGUUUUGGAGGAUACAGUUAAAAGGUACACCAGAAUCAAAAAUUAGUAUGGAGGUUUCCUUGAGAGAAAAGCCAGGCAUUUAUGGGCUUGGGGAUAGACCUGGUAUUUUGGAUCCGAUUCGUUAAUUCGACUCGUUAAUAUUAGUAUUUUGAUGGAUACUUAAUGGGUCAGGUCGCUAACAGAUGAACUCGUUAACAACCACUUAAAUAACGGGUCACUUUGGGUCAACCCGUUAGACCCGUUAGUUGAGGAUGCUUUAUUAAUUUCAAUAAAGUCUCUACAACAAAAAAUAAACUCUAUGCAAAAAAAAUAAUAAUAAUAAUUGUUAACGGGUGAAACAGGUGACCCGUUAGCUUAAUGGAUUGAAUUCGGAUUACCCGUUAACUUAACGGGUCGGGUUGAACCCGACUCAAACCCAAUAAACCCGACCCGUUUACAGGUGGAGUUAAGAUUAAAGAGAUACAACUAUAAGUAGACUAAAUCUUACAAUAAACUAGCAAGAAUAUAGUUUAAAUUCGUAAAGAUAAAUAUUACUAUACCAUAUUGCUAAGUGAUGAGAAUAUUGAAUUAAACAUGCAUAAUGUUUUUUGGUUUGGGGUGGUAAUGGGAAUUUAUUAAAGUGUGACAUAUGACGUGUGUACUGAUUGGCUCGACUGAACGCUAAUGUGUGGGCACACAUCAGAGAAUGCACCUCGCUUCAAAGGUAGUUGGUUUCAGAGGUCUUUUCGUUUUCAAAGUAAAUUUUACCAGGAGAUUUUUCCGGUCAUCGAAGAUUUAAUCAACAACAACAACAACAACAAAGUCUUUUCCCACUAAGUGGGGUCGGCUAUAUGAAUCCUAGAACGCCAUUGCGCUCGGUUUUGUGUCAUGUCCUCCGUUAGAUCCAAGUACUCUAAGUCUUUUCUUAGGGUCUCUUCCAAAGUUUUCCUAGGUCUUCCUCUACCCCUUCGGCCCCGAACCUCUGUUCCGUAGUCACAUCUUCGAACCGGAGCGUCAGUAGGCCUUCUUUGCACAUGUCCAAACCACUGUAACCGAUUUUCUCUCAUCUUUCCUUCAACUUCAGCUACUCCUACUUUACCUCAGAUAUCCUCAUUCACAAUCUUAUCCUUUCUCGUGUGCCCACACAUCCCACGAAGCAUCCUUAUCUCCGCUACACCCAUUUUGUGUACGUGUUGAUGCUUCACCGCCCAACAUUCUGUGCCAUACAACAUCGCUGGACAUAUUGCCGUCCUAUAAAAUUUUGCCUUGAGCUUCAGUGACCUACGACGGUCACACAACACGCCGGAUGCACUCUUACACUUCAUCCAUCCAGCUUUUAUUCUAUGGUUGAGAUCUCCAUCUAAUUCUCCGUUCUCUAGCAAGAUAGAUCCUAGGUAACGAAAACGGUCGCUUUUUGUGAUCUUCGCUAGAUUGCUCCGGUCAUUAGUGUGGAUAAGUAUAUAAAUGGAUAG
rnacentral:lncRNA from 1 species